rnacentral:lncRNA from 1 species
AGGCAAGGCCAAGGCUUCUUGAAAGGCUGGUCAUGCCCCAGUGAUCAAUGAAGAACUCAGGGAUAUCCCAAAACUCAGGACUAUAAGGCACAAUGGGGGAGCAGGUACCAGGUGGCCAGCAUCCUAAAUGACUCUCAGCAGCUGCAGAGAAUUUUGUCUUUUCCAGAAUGCCGUACAGUUGAAAUCAUACGGUAUAUAGACUUUGCAGGUUUUUAUGCGGACAUGUUUUUUGACUCCUUUGGGCAAAUACCAAGGAGCAAGAUUGCUGGAUCAUAUGGAAAGAGGCAUUACCAUAUCAAAGCCUUUAGCCUUCUUGCAUCACGACAAAAAUUCGAACUUGGUGUUUGAAGAACAUGAAAAAUGAGGAGGAAUAAAAUAAUCAUGAGUCUCCUGGUCAUUAACUGCAUGAAGUUGAGCUGGUCACUUAAGCCAUUCCUAAUAUGUAACUUGAGAGUAUAGUAUUAGAUAUUCAGUAAAUUCCCUUCAAAAUUCAUAUUUAAUGUUUCCUAAUUAAAUAUAUAUUUGGGGCUAAAUAUACAAA